rnacentral:lncRNA from 1 species
CCCCUCUUCUUUAAAAUAUUUAAUAACCAUCACAGAAAACAUAAAAGGAAAACAGCCAAAACAAUUUCUUACAAUCUUUUAAAUUUUUGGUGGCUUUUGGGAUUCACUCUGAAAUUUAGUAUUGUAUAUUUGACAUGUUCAAGAGCUGCUUCUGUAUUUUUGUAAUCCGGUGAGAAACUGAGACUUCUACCUCCCUAAGGGAGUAAAAAUUGCCAUAACCUUCGACGUUAAAAAUAAAUUGUGAUAAUACAAGAGUAAGAUUUGAUGAAUGAUACAAUAAACUUUUCCUACAGAGACCAACAUUUAGUACAUUUAUAAAAUAAAAUGUGAAAUUUUGGCAAGAACAAACAAG